rnacentral:lncRNA from 1 species
UUAAACACGCAUGUUGCUUGUGUCAUUUCAUAUCAUGUUGACUGAAAAAACCUUCUUCAUAGAGAGUACAUGAAAGACAUUCGUCAACCAAGACUCUCAAUGAUCUAUCUCUUUUCUUUUGAAGCAAUUCUUUAGAGAGAACAUACUCCCUCAUGUUAUGACCUUUCUUGGUCAUCCUUCGGGUCACAAGUACCCAGCCAUUCGCUUUCACGAAUGAAACAUGGAAAACUUUUAGUUUGGGAAAAAUUAGCCAAUAAUCAACAAUAAUGAGCAUAAAAAUAACCCCAUGUUGGUCUGGUUAAAAAAUAUGCACAUUAAACUUUAAAAUUUUCUUUUAUAUUCUAAACCAUCAUUGGGCAGAAUUAGAAUAAAACAUCAUCCUUCUACAUUAAUUCCAUAUCACCGUAGGGCGGAAAUGGAAAUAAUGCAUAUAAAUCGUAAACAAUGUGAUGAUAGUAUUUCUAUUAAAUAACUUUGCUAAGAAAUAAUCAUCAUCGUCAACUUUAUUGCAUCGGGAACAAGAAAUAUACAUUUCUCUAGUUCAAGAGCAUUUCUUGAUCUUUAUCUGUUCUCUGAAAAUUGAUCACUUUGAUACAAAAUUUAUUAGAGAUUUAAGCUUUGAACACAAGACUCAUAGAAUUAUAGUAUUGUUAUCAUCAACGUUGGUAAGAAAAUAACAAUACCCUAUUUUAACUUUAAAACAAAUAUCUUUCUUUUGUCAUAGCAAAAACUAUCUGAAUCUGAUUUCACCCACAGGGAAAAAACAUUGCUAAGAACAGUUCUUCAAAUUAAAUUUUCCUGUUGGUUCCAAUUUAAUUGGAGGAUAAUUUGUUUUUUACUUUGCAACGGAAACUUUCUCAAUCCAUCCAGAAACAAUUUUGUACUCUUUUACUCUCUAAGUAAUUUUAACCGGUUGGUUCAAAAUUGCAUUGGAGAAGCAACAAUUUAAUAUUUUACUUUAGUUCUAUUUUAAAAGAGUACUUUUAUUUUUGUUAGCAGCGGAAAAACAUGAAUAAAAAAUUCAUAAACUUUAUUAUUUUCUUUGUAAAAAUUCAUGAACAUUUCUUUUUCUGAAAAUUUUCUAUUUUCAUUUUCAAAAACUUUUAUUUUACUUUUCGGAAACUUUUAUAUUUUCUGAAAAAGCAAAAAAUAUCAUAAACUUUUCUAUUUACUUUUCAAGACAUUUCUGUUUUUUUAGAAAAAAAUGGCAGUGCCCAGCGCGCGCGGCAGCAGGCCUCAGCCCAGCGCGCGCAGUUGCGCCCGCGAGGCUGCGCCCGCGCGGCUCUUUCGUCCCAGCGGGCCAGUUGGCCCGAUUCCUUUCUGGCCCAGCAGCCUACAGCGGGUUAGCGCGCGUUUGGAUCUGGGCGGUUGAUCUGAUCGGACGGUCGCCCGAUGUUCUCACUGGAUCAAAACCAGCUGGCGACGAAACCCUCGUUCAUUCCCUUCCCCCCGCACGCGCCGCUCUCAUCCCUCUCUCGCUCAGGGCAUCUUUCUCUCCCGCCCGGCCACCGCGCUGGGCCAGAGUGCCGGCGUCGGCGUUGACCGGCCAGGGCGCCGGCCACGGCGUCGACCGGCCACCGCGCCUUUUCUUUUACUUUCCCCUCCUGAUCUCCCUUCGUCCACCGCAUCUAGUGCCAUAGAGGCACGCGGCUACGCCCCGGUCGCCGGUGAUGGCGGCGAGCCGCGCCAGCGCGAGCCCCCUUCCCUUUCCCCUUCGUUUCCAUUCCUCCAUCUCCAGAAGGCAGCGAGAGAGAGAUACGGCGGCUUUCCGAUGCGGCGCCCCCGCUGACCCCUUUGCCGGCGUGCGCGAGCACCUCUAGGGUGAACGCGCCGCCGUCAAACGGCUCGGUGGUGGUGCCCUUUGCCCCGUGGGGUUCUUCUUCUUCCCUGCACCUCGGCUUGCCGAUGCGUGUGGGGAUCGAGAGGAACGGCGCGGCCAUGACGACGGCGCUACUUUCUCCAGUGAGGAAACUUUCUUUGCCCUGUCAAUUAGGGUUCUUUGGGGAGGGAAGGAUUUCUGUUGCUACCGAAAAUCCACAACGCCAACCUGGGCUGACACCAUUGAUAGAACCUGUUGAUCCAGUAGGCAUGGGGAUUCCAGUAGUGCUGAUAGGUAUUACCUUCUCCUUGGUCUCGAGGAGGUCCGGUGCCAGCUAUGGUGACUGUGGCCGGUGAUGGCAGAGAGUAGUGGUGGCGGUGCUUCGCGUCAGCACUGCACUAACCCUAGAUCAAUAGGGGAUGUAGGUGGGGUGUACGGCGUGGCGACGAACCUCGUGAUCGAGCCGCCGACCCCCACCUCUUUAUAUAUAGUGCAGGUGACAGGGGCCCGUCACCCAUAGUGGGUUGAGCGUCCCCGAUCAGGGCGCGGAUCUAAGGGCCCGAUGGGCCGUUGGGCCCACACGGUGGAGAUCAUCCUAACACCCCUCUGCAUCCAGCAGGUAACCGCGCACCGCCCUAACCAGUGUGUAAAGCUCGGGAAAAGCCUCUGUCAGCAUCAGAUGGCAGCGCUCGCGCCCCAAAGGUUGAAACGGAGAGCAGGUUUUGCAAAGUGGAAAGAGGAGAUGAGAUUCAUCGGGUGGCUCAGUAGAGCAUGGUCAUGGUCUCAUGGUCCGCGUUUCUUGUAUCGGGAAAGGCGCGUAAAAAGGUGCUGAGGUUGCAAUUUAGCUCAGACUAGCAACUUCUCAAAACAGAAACCGGAGGGUGAAGCAUGUGCAAUGGGCCGGUAGAUGAGAGGGGUAGCACGCGGUAGGAGGAAAAGCAUUGUUCUGCCUAUGUCGUCGUCCUCCUCGGAGUGGUUCUUCCACCGGCGGAAUGGCGAGGGGUCCGAUCUCCCUGCCGGCCCACCACAUGGCACUCGUGAAUGAGUCGCCCGGCUUCCUCCUGCGCCGUACGGAGGGCCACCUCGACCAACGUCAACCCAAGUCGGGAGCCCUGCCCUUCCCCCUGCCGGCAACGCAGAGGUGUUGCUCAGUGACCACUCCUCCUCGAUCUUGGUGAGCUCCCCAUCGAGAAGGCGCAAUCACCAUGCAGACGUCUCCGCGGGGGUCACACACCAGUCAAGGGCCCAGCCUCCGUGAGGUCGGUUUUCAUGAAGACCCAAACAGGCGCAGCACUGUACUUCUCGAAUGCCGCCUGGCGCGUGAUACGUCUCCAACGUAUCUAUAAUUUUUGAUUGCUCCAUGCUAUAUUAUAUUCUGUUUUGGACAUUAUUGGGCUUUAUUAUACACUUUUAUAUUAUUUUUGGGACUAACCUAUUAACCGGAGGCCCAGCCCAGAAUUGCUGUUUUUUGCCUAUUUUAGAGUUUCAUAGAAAAAGAAUAUCAAACGGAGUCCAAACGGAAUGAAACCUUCGGGAACGUGAUUUUCGGAACGAACAUGAUCCAGAGGACUUGGACCCAACGUCAAGAAACGAAAGAGGAAGCCACGAGGUAGGGGGGCACGCCUACCCCCCCCCCCCUAGGCGCGCCCUCCACCCUCGUGGGCCCCCUGUUGCUCCACCGACGUACUCCUUCCUCCUAUAUAUACCUACGUACCCCCAAACGAUCAGAUACGGAGCCAAAAACCUAAUUCCACCGCCGCAACCUUCUGUACCCACGAGAUCCCAUCUUGGGGCCUGUUCCGGAGCUCCGCCGGAGGGGCCAUCGGUCACGGAGGGCUUCUACAUCAACACCAUAGCCUCUCCGAUGAUGUGUGAGUAGUUUACCUCAGACCUUCGGGUCCAUAGUUAUUAGCUAGAUGGCUUCUUCUCUCUUUUUGGAUCUCAAUACAAUGUUCUCCCCCUCUCUCGUGGAGAUCUAUUCGAUGUAAUCUUCUUUUGCGGUGUGUUUGUUGAGACCGAUGAAUUGUGGGUUUAUGAUCAAGUUUAUCUAUGAACAAUAUUUGAAUCUUCUCUGAAUUCGUUUAUGUAUGAUUGGUUAUCUUUGCAAGUCUCUUCGAAUUAUCAGUUUGGUUUGGCCUACUAGAUUGGUUUUUCUUGCAAUGGGAGAACUGCUUAGCUUUGGGUUCAAUCUUGCGGUGUUCUUUCCCAGUGACAGUAGGGGCUGCAAGGCACGUAUUGUAUUGUUGCCAUCGAGGAUAACAAGAUGGUUUUUUUUAUCAUAUUGCAUGAAUUUAUCCCUCUACAUCAUGUCAUCUUGCUUAUGGCGUUACUCUGUUCUUAUGAACUUAAUACUCUAGAUGCAUGCUGGAUAGCGGUCGAUGUGUGGAGUAAUAGUAGUAGAUGCAGGCAGGAGUCGGUCUACUUGUCUCGGACAUGAUGCCUAUAUACAUGAUCAUACCUAGAUAUUCUCAUAACUAUGCUCAAUUCUGUCAAUUGCUCAACAGUAAUUUGUUCACCCACCGUAAAAUACUUAUGCUCUUGAGAGAAGCCACUAGUGAAACCUAUGGCCCCCGGAUCUAUCUUCCAUCAUAUUAAUCUUUCAAUACUUAGUUAUUUUCAUUGCCUUUUAUUUUACUUUGCAUCUUUAUCAUAAAAAUACCAAAAAUAUUAUCCUAUCAUAUCUAUCAGAUCUCACUCUCGUAAGUGACCGUGUAGGUAUUGACAACCCCUUAUCGCGUUGGUUGCGAGGAUUUAUUUGUUUUGUGUAGGUGCGAGGGACUCGCGCGUAGCCUCCUACCGGAUUCAUACCUUGGUUCUCAAAAACUGAGGGAAAUACUUACGCUACUUUGUUGUAUCACCCUUUCCUCUUCAAGGGAAAACCAACGUAGUGCUCAAGAGGGAGAAAAAUUGAAAGACGCUUGGUAUAGAAUUUGCAAUGCUCAAAAUAGAUCUACCCGGAAGCAAUCUACUUCUGUUCUUCUUCGCAAUUUUUAUGUAGGCGCUAAUCCUUGGUAUAGAUAUAUUCUUGAUACCAUUACCGGAGGGAAUUUCUUGGGUAGCCAUACUUUUGACUCUUAUAAUGCUAUGAUAUAUUUAUUUGGCUCGCCACCUCUUUUGGUUAAUGGAACUAUGUUAACUUUGGAGCAUGUAAUACAAAGACUUGAAAUUAUUGAAAAUAAAGUUGCUACCGUAGAGUUAAUUGAAAAUCUAGAUAAAAAGAUCCACAACCAAAUUACUCAAUAUGGAUCUAAGGUAGGAGUCACUUUGAAAAAUAUUAAGGAGAGGGAACCCAUAGUUAAUGAAAGAAUAAAUCAAGAUUCCACUAGAAUCGAUAAACUUGAGGGUAUCAUUACCAACUUGGGAACCGCUUUUUCUUCCGUAAAGAGUACUCCAAGUCCUCCAACUAAAAUUGCCAAGCUUAUGUAUGUUCCUAAAAAAGGGUGAAUCCUUUAGUAAGGAAACUGCGGAUCUUAAAUCUAUAAGUAUUCAUCCCAAUCAUUUUUCUAUCAUUAGGGAACCAUUUGCUACAAAUGAAUUUUUCGAUCUUGUUCCUAGAAGUUUGAUAAUUAAUAAAAAGAAAGAAACUCUAAAAGAUAAUAGAUGUCUUAUUGAAGAACUGCCUACAAAAGAUGGCAAUACCUAGAUCUAUCCUUGCUUUUAUGCCUAGCUAGGGGCGUUAAACGAUAGCGCUUGUUGGGAGGCAACCCAAUUUUUUUUUUGCUUUUUGCUUCUGUUUAGGAAUAAAAUUUGAUCUAGCCUCUGGUUAGAUAUGUUUUAAUUAGUGUUUGUGCCAAGUUAAACCUAUAGGAUCUUCUUGGAUGAUAGUUAUUUGAUCUUGCAGAAAAUUCCAGAAUCUUUCUGUUCACGAAAAUAAUUGUUAGAAAUCACCAGAACGUGAUAAAAUAUUGAUUCUAAUUGAUGCUGAUCAAUAAACAAAUUUUCUAGGUCUUCCUAUUUUGGCUGAUUUUUUGGAGUUCCAGAAGUUUGCGUUAGUUACAGAUUACUACAGACUGUUUGUUUUUGACAGAUUCUGUUUUUCGUGUGUUGUUUGCUUAUUUUGAUGAAUCUAUGGCUAGUAAAAUAGUUUUUAAACCAUAGAGAAGUUGGAAUACAGUAGGUUUAACACCAAUAUAAAUAAAGAAUGAGUUCAUUACAGUACCUUGAAGUGGUCUUUUGUUUUCUUUAGCUAACGGAGCUCACGAGAUUUUCUGUUAAGUUUUGUGUUGUGAAGUUUUCAAGUUUUGGGUGAAAGAUUUGAUGGAUUAUGGAACAAGGAGUGGCAAGAGCCUAAGCUUGGGGAUGCCCAUGGCACCCCCAAGAUAAUCUAAGGACACCAUAAAGCCAAAGCUUGGGGAUGCCCCGGAAGGCAUCCCCUCUUUCGUCUACUUCCAUCGGUAACUUUACUUGGAGCUAUAUUUUUAUUCACCACAUGAUAUGUGUUUUGCUUGGAGCGUCUUGUAUUAUUGUAGUCUUUAUUUGUUAGUUUAACACAAUCAUCCUUGCUGUACACAUCUUUUGAGAGAGACACACAUGAUUCGGAAAUUAUUAGAAUACUCUAUGUGCUUCACUUAUAUCUUUUGAGCUAUAUAGUUUUGCUCUAGUGCUUCACUUAUAUCUUUUAGAGCACGGUGGUGGAUUUGUUUUAUAGAAACUAUUGAUCUCUCAUGCUUCACUUAUAUUAUUUUGAGAAUCUUAAAAUAGCAUGGCAAUUUGCUUUAUAUAAUAUCAUGAGAAAUUUGAUGCUUGAUAAUUGUUUUGAGAUAUAAAGGUGGUAAUAUCAUAGUUGUGCUAGUUGAGUAAUUGUGGAAUUGAAAAAUACAUGUGUUGGAGUUUGUGAUUCCCGUAGCAUGCACGUAUGGUGAACCGUUAUGUAACAAAGUCGGAGCAUGAAGUAUUUGUUGAUUGUCUUCCUUUGUGUGGCGGUCGGGAUCGCGCGAUGGUUAACUCCUACCAACCCUUCCCCUAGGAGCAUGCGUAGUAGUACUUUGCUUCGAGGGCUAAUAAAUUUUUGCAAUAAGUAUAUGAGUUCUUUAUGACUAAUGUGAGUCCAUGGAUUAUACGCACACUUACCUUUCCGCAAUUUCUAGCCUCUUCGGUACCGCGCAUUGCCCUUUCUCACCUUGAGAGUUGGUGCAAACUUCGCCGAUGCAUCCAAACCCCGUGAUACGAUACGCUCUAUCACACAUAAACCUCCUUAUAUCUUCCUCAAAACAGCCACCAUACCUACCUAUCAUGGCAUUUCCAUAGCCAUUCCGAGAUACAUUGCCAUGCAACUUUCCACCGUUUCAUUUAUCAUGACAUACUCCAUCAUUGUCAUAUUGCUUUGCAUGAUCAUGUAGUUGACAUUGUAUUUGUGGCAAAGCCACCGUUCAUAGUUCUUUUAUACAUGUCGCUCUUGAUUCAUUGCAUAUCCCGGUACACCGCCGGAGGCAUUCUUAUAGAGUCAUAUUUUGUUCUAAGUAUUGAGUUGUAAUUUAUGAGUUGUAAGUAAAUAAAAGUGUGAUGAUCAUCAUUAUUAGAGCAUUGUCCCAAGUGAGGAAAGGAUGAUGGAGACUAUGAUUCCCCCACAAGUCGGGAUGAGACUCCGGACUAAAAAAAAGAGGCCAUAAAAAAAGAGAAAAGGCCCAAAUAAAAAAAAAUGAGAGAAAAAGAGAGAAGGGACAAUGUUACUAUCCUUUUACCACACUUGUGCUUCAAAGUAGCACCGUGAUCUUCAUAAUAGAGAGUCUCUCAUUUUGUCACUUUCAUAUACUAGUGGGAAAUUUCAUUAUAGAACUUGGCUUGUAUAUUCCAAUGAUGGGCUUCCUCAAAUGCCCUAGGUCUUCAUGGGCAAGCAAGUUGGAUGCACACCCACUUAGUUUCUUUUUGAGCUUUCAUACACUUACAGCUCCAGUGCAUCCGUUGCAUGGCAAUCCCUACUCCUCGCAUUAACAUCAAUUGAUGGGCAUCUCCAUAACCCGUUGAUUAGCCUCGUUGAUGUGAGACUUUCUCCUUUUUUGUCUUCCCACAUAACCCCUACCAUUAUACCUUAUUCCACCAUAGUGCUAUAUCCAUGGCUUGCGCUCAUGUAUUGCGUAAGAGGUGAAAAGGCUGAAGCACGUUAAAAGUAUGAACCAAAUGCUUGGCCAAAAUCGGGGUCGUACAUGAUAUGAAUAUUUUGUGUGGGGAAGAUGGAGCAUAGCCAGACUAUAUGAUUUUGUAGGGAUAACUUGCUUUGGCUAUGUUAUUUUGAUAAGACAUAAUUGCUUAGUUAGUAUGCUUGAAGUAUUAUUAUUUUUAUGUUAACAUUAAACUUUUAUCUUGAAUCAUAUCAAAUCUGAACAUUCAUGCCACAAUAAAGAAGAAUUAUAUUGAAAUUAUGCCUAGUAGCAUUCCACAUCAAAAAUUCUGUUUUUAUCAUUUACCUACUCGAGGACGAGCAGGAAUUAAGCUUGGGGAUGCUUGAUACGUCUCCAACGUAUCUAUAAUUUUUUAUUGCUCCAUGCUAUAUUAUAUUCUAUUUUGGACAUUAUUGAGAUUUAUUAUACACUUUUAUAUUAUUUUUGGGACUAACCUGUUAACCGGAGGCCCAGCCCAGAAUUGUUGUUUUUUGCCUAUUUCAGAGUUUUGCAGAAAAAUAAUAUCAAACGGAGUCCAAACGGAAUGAAACCUUCGGGAACGUGAUUUUCGGAACGAACAUGAUCCAGAGGACUUGGACCCUACGUCAAGAAACAAAAGAGGAAGCCACGAGGUACNNNNNNNNNNNNNNNNNNNNNNNNNNNNNNNNNNNNNNNNNNNNNNNNNNNNNNNNNNNNNNNNNNNNNNNNNNNNNNNNNNNNNNNNNNNNNNNNNNNNNNNNNNNNNNNNNNNNNNNNNNNNNNNNNNNNNNNNNNNNNNNNNNNNNNNNNNNNNNNNNNNNNNNNNNNNNNNNNNNNNNNNNNNNNNNNNNNNNNNNNNNNNNNNNNNNNNNNNNNNNNNNNNNNNNNNNNNNNNNNNNNNNNNNNNNNNNNNNNNNNNNNNNUCCACCGACGUACUCCUUCCUCCUAUAUAUACCUACGUACCCCCAAACGAUCAGAUACCGAGCCAAAAACCUAAUUGCACCGCCGCAACCUUCUGUACCCACGAGAUCCCAUCUUGGGGCCUGUUCCGGAGCUCCGCCGGAGGGGGCAUCGAUCACGGAGAGCUUCUACAUCAACACCAUAGCCUCUCCGAUGAUGUGUGAGUAGUUUACCUCAGACCUUCGGGUCCAUAGUUAUUAGCUAGAUGACUUCUUCUCUCUUUUUGGAUCUCAAUACAAUGUUCUCCCCCUCUCUCGUGGAGAUCUAUUCGAUGUAAUCUUCUUUUGCGGUGUGUUUGUUGAGACCGAUGAAUUGUGGGUUUAUAAUCAAGUUUAUCUAUGAACAAUAUUUGAAUCUUCUCUGAAUUCUUUUAUGUAUGAUUGGUUAUCUUUGCAAGUCUCUUCGAAUUAUCAGUUUGGUUUGGCCUACUAGAUUGGUUUUUCUUGCAAUGGGAGAAGUGCUUAGCUUUGGGUUCAAUCUUACGGUGUCCUUUCCCAGUGACAGUAGGGGCAGCAAGGCACGUAUUGUAUUGUUGCCAUCGAGGAUAACAAGAUGGUUUUUUUAUUAUAUUGCAUGAAUUUAUCCCUCUACAUCAUGUCAUCUUGCUUAAGGCGUUACUCUGUUCUUAUGAACUUAAUACUCUAGAUGCAUGCUGGAUAGCGGUCGAUGUGUGGAGUAAUAGUAGUAGAUGCAGGCAGGAGUCGGUCUACUUGUCUCGGACGUGAUGCCUAUAUACAUGAUCAUACCUAGAUAUUCUCAUAACUAUGCUCAAUUCUGUCAAUUGCUCAACAGUAAUUUGUUCACCCACCGUAAAAUACUUAUGCUCUUGAGAGAAGCCACUAGUGAAACCUAUGGCCCCCGGGUCUAUCUUCCAUCAUAUUAAUCUUUCAAUACUUAGUUAUUUUCAUUGCCUUUUAUUUUACUUUGCAUCUUUAUCAUAAAAAUACAAAAAAUAUUAUCCUAUCAUAUCUAUCAGAUCUCACUCUCGUAAGUGACCGUGUAGGGAUUGACAACCCCUUAUCGCGUUGGUUGCGAGGAUUUAUUUGUUUUGUGUAGGUGCGAGGAACUCGCGCGUAGCCUCCUACUGGAUUGAUACCUCGGUUCUAAAAAACUGAGGGAAAUACUUACGCUACUUUGCUGCAUCACCCUUUCCUCUUCAAGGGAAAACCAACGCAGUGCUCAAGAGGUAGUAGCGCGCCGCUUCGUCCACGUUGUCUUCUCCUACACCGAAACGAUGCUUCGUGACAAUGUGCCGCGGCCACCGAGGUAGUGGAGGAGGCGCCCACACACCUUCGAGAUUGGCUGGGGAAACUCCUCCGUCAUGGGCUUGUCGAGACUACAACGAGGCAGCAACGCCGACUCCUUCACGCGGCGUCCGAUUUGGACGUCGUGGUUGUGCACACGAGUGGGGGGGGCGGCUCCGCCUUGAUGCAGUGGUGACGUGGCAACGCCGACUCCUCCUGGACGCGGGUUUGCGGCAGCAAGGGCGGCAUUGGAACACGUUACCAGAGGGACUGCUCGAUCAUGACGUUCAUCUCCACCUUGUACUCCUCGUCUGUGAUCGCCGCCUCCUCCUCCUCCUCGUCGAAGGAGGCGAUCAUCGUGGAGUCGAUCGACCCAAAGAGUGAUGGGCAGAGAGGAGUGCAUGUACGAUGAUCGGAGAGGAGAGGAUGUGCGGUGAUUGUAGACGAGAGUAUAUGGUGUGAUGUGGGUGCCGGAGCCAUGUUUAAAUAGGCACGACCAAGCGAUUAGACGGGCAGCCGGCUUCAACGCGGUAGCGAGGGCUUCUCAUUCGCCACGUCGGCAUUGAAACACCCUGAUCGACAUCAAUGCCGUGUGGAGUCACGUCCGUUCUGGAGCGGCCUAACCGCCAUGAAUGCACAACGUUGCUUCGCGGGGAGAAGGUUUGGGGGUGGAGCGUGGAGAUCAGGCGCAUACAUAACAACAAUCGGACAUCCACAUAGCUCCCCCCGGAUUGUGUCCGGUUUGUAGGAUUUCGGGGACAUGCCUACCGCUCGGUCGGUAGAUUAGCAGAUAGUAGCUUGUCUCAAGCAGUCUGGGCAAUUCCAGAAAAAAGGGAAAAGGGCACAUGAUGGACAUUGUAUUACGGUUUGAUUUCGCGGAUGAUUGAUUUCAUUUGUUUUGAGCAAACAAUAUAUUUAUGUUUUGUCUUAUGAUUGGUUCUAAGUCCAACGACUGUGUUGACAAUUGAGGCACACGAUUUGUGAACCAUGAAGUUUGCACUUUAUUCUACAAUGGCUUCCGGUUGAUAUUUAGCUAAUUACCUUGACGUGUUUUCUCUCUCUUGCCAAUGGUACAUCUACUCCUAUUGAUUUAAUAUAUCGAGGUUAAUCAUAUUUUCACUUCCAUAAAUAAAUUAUUUGCAUGACCAUUGUUACAAAAAAAAAUUGCCAACAAAAAUUAUUGAUAAAUUUGGCAUACCAAUUAUUAUGAUUCCGUUUGCUUAAAAACAAAAUAAUGUUAAUUGAGCUUAUAAUUUAGACAUACAUGAUCAUGGAAGCAUGUAGCGAGAGGAGGAAGUCAACAAUUAUACUUGCAAUUGUGGUAAGUUUCCAAUUGAACUACUUGUUUGAUUGUUCAUUUUAUAGGUUCGGCAUGCAUGUAGGAUCGUGAAGGGUUCAUGUUUAUUUUUUGUCUUACAGUUUUUGAAUCUAAUGGGUACACGUGCAUGCGGUUAAUGAUUUUAUUAGAAGUGAAAACAAAGCAUCCAGUUGACCAAUGUUUUAGGAUGCCAAUGAACUUUUGAUUUAUGAAGUAGUACAAAUUUUUAACCUUUAAUUCUAACGCAUUAAUUUUAUCUAGGCCGAAUCACUUCUCCUGAAUAUACCACAAAAAUUGCCAUGACCAAGAAAAGUGAUUGUGGUUGAUUCAUCGACCGUAUUCAUCUGGGUUAUCUCCGACAUCGUUUUAAAUAAAUUUACUGAGCUAGGGACAUGGAAGAAUUUUUGUCUUGCAACGCACGGACAAUUUUUCUAGUUUAACUAAAGGGUAAUUUGGGAAUUGUAGUCAAUAUCCGAUGUAACUAUCCAGAACUCCAGAUCCACGGCCACCGUGGGCGUGGCCGGAACUGCAGCCACACGAAGGAGACGUAGGGUCGUAGGUAUAGUGGUAUACUCCUCCACAGACGAUAACUACGGCCUUGUAGAAUUCAAUUUACAUAUGCGCUUGCUCGCAGGGGAUGGACGCCACGGCGAGAUAUCAUAUCUUGACAUUAAACACGCAGCAGCAGCAGCAGCAGCAGCAAAUGACCAAAUUAAACGUAGAGAUCAUACUAUCCUCAUCAACGAGUCAACCAAGUCACACGCUGCUUAUUAAGUUCAUUACAAGUAAACUUCGGUUUCCAAACACACGCGCCACCAACAGAGCCGCACACGCCCGCGAUCUCGCAACAAACCCAACAAGGAAACGACGACGUACUGGCUGAACUGAUGAACUGAUGGAGUCGCUCGCCGGGGAGGUAGCGCGCCGCUCAGACCGCCGCGCCACCUGCGCCCUCCGCCUGGCCGCCGCCGCCGCCGGCGGCUCCGGCCUGCGCCUGCGGGUUCCCGCGCGCCUGGAUCUUGGCCAGAAUGCACUGGCCGAUGUCGUCGAUGGCGCCCUUCGCGAACAGGAAAAGGAUGAUGCUCGCCACACCGUCAAGGAAACCCCAUCCGUACUCGUCCAUGGACUAGAGGACUAGCUUGGCGUGCGUGCGUGAUUGGAUGGGCAGAAGAGGGGAGGGUGCGAUGGGUCGAUGAAGAGCAGAAGAGUGAGGAGUGGUGGAAGAAAGUGACUACACAGGAGGGGUUUAAAAGGAACACGCUCUCUCUGCGCUCUGGCC